rnacentral:rRNA from 1 species
GAUGAACGCUGGCGGCGUGCCUAAUACAUGCAAGUAGAACGCUGAAGGAAGGAGCUUGCUCUUUCCGGAUGAGUUGCGAACGGGUGAGUAACGCGUAGGUAACCUGCCUGGUAGCGGGGGAUAACUAUUGGAAACGAUAGCUAAUACCGCAUAACAGUAGAUGUUGCAUGAUAUCUACUUAAAAGGUGCAAUUGCACCACUACCAGAUGGACCUGCGUUGUAUUAGCUAGUUGGUGAGGUAACGGCGCACCAAGGCGACGAUACAUAGCCAACCUGAGAGGGCGAUCGGCCACACUGAGACUGAGACACGGCCCCGACACCUACCGGAAGCCGCAGUAGGGAAUCCUCGGCAAUUGAAGGAAGACUGACCGGGAAACGCCGCGUGAGUGAAGAAGGGUUUCGGGUCGUAAAAAUCUGUUGUAAGGGAAGAAAGAGUGUGAGAGUGGAAAGUUCACAAUGUGACGGUAUCUUAACAGAAAGGGACGGCUAACUACGUG